UUUUUUUUUUUUUUUCCAUAUCACUUCUUUACUUUCUGGUAUUCCAGGCUCAUCUUCUGUAUUUUCUGCCCUUAUCCUAGAUUCAUUCAUUUCUCUAAGAAGUAUUGUUUCUGCUUAUCAGAGAAUAGUAUUAGAAACCAAGAUCUGGGUAUUAGGCAUGCUCAGUGCUACUGGGGUGUGUUUAUUCUCAAGUCCCCUCAGCUGACAGAGCAAGAAAAUAAAUAUGUGUAUGCCAACCAGUAAACUUCAACAUUUUUAUAAAUCUUUCCAUAUGAAACCCAUUGUAUCUAUAUUGAAUUAAACAUGAAUUUGUACUGAUGUCUCUAACUCUAAUCCAUUACUUCAUGAAUCAACCAAGCCUCCUCUCCUUGCUAAUAGGUAGCCUCCCACUUCAUCAGUUAGAAACCUGGCUUUCAUGAUCUGUUGUCCUUUUAAGUCAUUGUUUAAUUCAAGUGGGCAUGUAUAGCAGUACCAGAAUUGUCAACCAGUAACCAUUAAUGUGAUUUUGAAACAUGACACAUAUAGUAAACAUGAUUCCUGGAAAAACAUGCACAGAAUUAAAAAAUAAUAAUAGUACAUAUCUGGAUCUCACAUUUCUAUAAUUUUUUUGGUCUUUAUUUGUGAUACUUUGGGAGGAAGAAGGUGGUAAAAUUGUGUAAAAUUAUUAUCUCUCAAAAUUAUCAUCUUUAAUAGAUAUGUUUCAUUUUUGUAAGGUAAUGAAAUAUAGGUAAAAGUCUUUUAAUAAUGGAAGAUAAAGGUUAGUCCUUAUUACUCCCAAAUCCCUGAAGAGAAAGAGGAAAGAAAUACCUAAUUCUAUUAUUGAAGAAUAGUAAUUUUAAAAAUUAAAACAAAAUGAAUUUUGAAACUGUUUUGUAUCAAAUUAACAAAUAAAAAUUUCAUUAAAAUUCCUUAAGGAUUUUGGGGAAAUUCAUGGCUAUAAUUAAACUCUCGUGUUCCCAUUGUGGUUCAGCUGGUUAAGAGCCUGACAUUGUCUCUGUGAGGAUGUGGGUUCAAUUCCUGGCAUCCCUCAGUGGGUUAAGGAUCUGGUGUUACCACAAGCUGUAGCAUAGACCACAGAUGAGGCUCAAAUCCAGUGUUGCCAUGGCUAUGGUGCAGGCCUCAGCUGCAGCUCCUAUUUGACCCAUAGCCUGGGAACUUCCCUGUGUCGCAGGUGUGGCUAUAAAAAGAAAAAUAAAUAAAUAAGUUUUUUUAAAGAAGAAAAACUCAGGGGAGUUCCUGUUGCGGCUCAGUGGUAAUGAACUCAACUAGGAUCCACGAGGAUGCAUGUUCAAUCCCUGGCCCCACUCAGUGGGUUAAGGAUCCCUUGUUGCCAUGAGUUGUGGUGUAGGUUACAGAUGUGGCUUGGAUCUGGCAUUGCUGUGGUGUAGGCUGACAGCGGCAGCUCCAAUUUGACCCCUGGGCUGGGAACUUCCAUAUGCCUCAGGUGCAGCCCUAAAAAGACAGACAGACAGAAAGAAAGGAAGAAGGAAGGAAGAAAGGAAGAAAGGGAUAAAGACAGACGCAUUAAACUGUGAGUGUAAAGAAAAAAUAUGCAUCAUUUUCGGAAUAUGCCAAUCAUGAAGAAUUACAAACUUUAUCCAUGUAAGAGUGUAUACACUCUGGAAUCAUGGUCCUAAAUUCACCAUGAGCAGGAAGGGCUGUGCCUUGUUCAGCUUUGUGAAAACAGCUCUGGUACAGAUUACUCAGUGAAUUUUAAAUUGAAGAUGGGGAGUUACCAUGGUGGCUCAGCAGUAAGGAACCCUGCUGAGCCGUGAGGACUUGGAUUUGAUCCCUGUCCUUGCCUAGUGGGUUAAGGAUCCAGCAUUGCUGUGAGCUGGGGUGUAGGUCACAGAGGUGGCUCAGAUCUGGCGUUGCUGUGGUGGAGGCUGCCAGCUACAGCUCUGAUUCGAUCCCUAGCCUGGGAACUUCCAUAUGCCAUGAGGGCAGCCCUAAAAAAAAAAAAGGAAAAAAUUAAAGAUGACCUUCCUUCAAUUGAAUAUAAGCAAAGGUGCAUGAUUUCAUCAUAGCUUUAUGUAAAAUCAAGGUAAUUGUCCUUGUGGAUAUUCUUGCUGCAUAUAUAUAUAUAUAAUAUAUAUCUGCAUAUAUACAUACACAUAUACAUACAUAACUAUAUAUGUAGUUUAAAUCACCAGAGAUUUGUGAAGAAAUAUUAUUUCAUUUUAAAAUCCAAAUAGAAAAGUGUUCACAACACAGAAGUGAUUAUUAAUAUUAAAACAUAAUUUACUCCUGGGACCCUUUAAAUUAGUAAAUAUCACAACUGCACAUAUGUGUUUAUGUUUUACAGAUCAUUAAACACUUCACAAAGAGACUUGAUUUAGUUGUAGGCAGAUGUCUGUGAAGCAGUGAAGGAAAAAGGAAAAAAGAUACUUAAAGCACCAGGAUUUGAAUAUGAUCUUGUAAAACUAAAAUUAAUCACCUCUGUAUUGUAAUAGAAACCUGUUACAUGACUGGUAUAUUAUUUACAGUCAUUUGAAAGAUGAAUUUUUCAGAUAAUCUUUUUGUUUAAUUGAAAUUGACUUAGUUUUACCCUUUUCUUAAAUGCUAAAUGAAACAAAACAAAACAGAAUAAGAUCUUUUUUGUUCCAAUGAAAUCUUUGGAUGUUUUACACACAUGUGCACAUACAUACACUUAAUUUUAAUGUGCAUCCAUACCUGCAAUUUGUGGUAUCUUCCAUAUAUAUUUAAUUGAGCUUAAUAAUGUAUGUAUAACUAUAGUGUGAGUUUACAUUUGAAAACUUGUAUAUUUUAUUUUUGUCAAGUGUAUUAUACCUUGUAUUUUAACUUUUUAGCAUGCUAUGGAAUACUUCCUUUUAAACUGUCUAAAAAUUUCAUUGAAAGUAUUACUAUAUACUUUAACAUCUAUCAGAUCUUAUCAGUGUAAAUGAUUCCAUAAAAGUAUAUCUGACUGAAUUCUAAACAUUCUUUUCCAAAAAAAUUGUAGCUUUAUCAUUUCCACACUCAUUUGAUUGUCUUUGAGUUUGCCUCUACCUGUGUCUACGACAGUGCUACUCGAAGUACCAUCCUUGGAUGGGCAGCAUCAGCACCAUGUGGUAACUUGUUAGAAAUGUAAAUUAUUAGGACCUACCCUAGGCCUGUUGUAUUAGAGACUUUGGGGGUGGGAUCCCGGUAUCUCUUUUAACAAGCUUUCCACGCAAUUAUGCAUGUUCAAGUUUGAGAAACACUGGCUUUUUUUGUGUCCGACUCUGUUAAAUUUCAUGUCCCAGCAUAAAUGUCAGCUACUGAGAGAAGUCAUAUCUGAAGUAAAACCAUCUCAAUUAUUUCACUUUUUUAUUUGGUAAUUUUAAAAUUUAGAAAUAAUUUUAGAUUUACAGAAAAGCUAUAAUGGUACAAAAUUUCCUAUAUAAACUCAGAGUCUCCAACAGUUAAUAUUUCACUAUUUUUGCUUUAUCAUUUUACACACACACACACAAUCACACAUCCCUAUAUAAAUACCUAUUUGAGAGUAAGGUGUAAGGUACACACAUAUUAUUCCUCAAUUCCCAAAUACUCAGUGUGUAUUUCCUAAAAACAAGGAUAGUCUCUUUCAUAACUACGGUACAAUUAUAAAAAUCAAAAAAAGUAACAAUGACACCACUAUUUAAUCAGUAGGCCUAAUUACUUCAUAGUUUAUUUAAUAUCCUAUAAAGCAAAAAGAAAAAAAAUCCCAAAUCAAUAUUAUUUCUUCAAAUCAAUAUAGUUUUAUUUUUAAGUAUUUAUUUAUUUAUUUAUUGGCUUCUCUCUGGCAUGCAAAAGUUCCCAGGCCAGGGACUGAACCUGUAGCAAAUCAGUGACACAAGGAUCCUUAACUGCUAGGCCAUCAGGGAACUCCAUUUUUCAUUGAUAUUUAAUACAAGGAUAGUCGGGAAAAAUGCUUCCUUAUUAGCUAUAAAGCUAUUAUGAAAAACAUAGUCCACUCAAUUUUUAAUAUUUCUUCUCUAGGAACCAAGUAAUAAGUUUCUUUUAGAGCUUCAAACCAGGAAAAUACUUGCAUGAAUGAAGUUUAUGCUGCAUUCAGAGUUUGGGGAAAUUUCCUUUUUGGCCUUUUUUCAGAAAUCUUGAAACUAACUUUGUGGCUUACCCAUGACAAAUUAGUUUUCUCUUCUUUUUUCAUAAUUUUGAUAUUAUAUUUCUAUUUUAGCAGUAAUUAUCUAUCCAUUUAUCUCUAAUCAUUCUACCGUGAGCCAUGUCCAAUGCAAAUAAAAGCAAAUAUCACAAAUAAUAAUCUAUUUUGAAAGUAAUAAUGACAAGCAAUAAAAUCUCUGAGAUUCUAUAUACUCUCAUUGUUCUUUAAAAAAAAAAAAAAGAAUCCAAAGAUUCUUUUGCAUUUUAAAGAUUCUUCUUAGGAGUUCCCAUCGUGGCUCAGUGGUUAACAAAUCCAGCUAGAAACUGUGAGGUUGAGGGUUCGAUCCCUGGCCUCGUUCAGUGGGUUAAGGAUCUGGCAUUGCUGUGAGCUGUGGUGUAGGUCGCAGAUGUGGCUCGGAUCCCACGUUGCUGUGGCUGUGGUAUAGGCUGACAGCCCAGCUCUGAUUCAGUCCCUAGCCUGGGAACCUCCAUAUGCUGUGGGCCCUAAAAAGACACACACAAAAUGAAACAAAACAAAACAAAACAAAAAACAAAUGAAGAUCCUUCUUAAAUAUUUUCUAGGAUUUGAAAUCAGUAGUAAAGUCACUUACAAAAUGAACCUACACAAAAGUAGUCAAACUUAAUAGAUGGAAUAUAUUAUUUAUCAACUGUUGCAUAACAAAUUACUCCAAAACUUAGCAGCUAAAAAUAAUAAAUAUUUACUCUCUCCCUCCAUUUCUGAGGUUCAAGAAUCCAGGAAAGAUGGGUAGUUCUGGCUCAGGCUGCAGCUAGAGCCACGGUGACUCUACAAGGCCCAGGGCCAGAGAGUUCAUUCCCAAGUUUACUCAGGUGGUGUAGGUUGGCCUCAGGGCCUCACCGCAUGGUCUCUCUAGAGGGCAGUUCAUGACCUGGUGGCCUACUUCCAGCCCAGAGAGAAGGAAAGUGAGCCCAAGACAGAAACCUCAUGGAAAGGACAUACUGCAUGCCAAUCAUCAUCAGUAUCUAAUUCUAGAACAUUUUCAUCACCCAAAAAAGAAAUUCUGAAAAACUUUUGCUCUGUAAAAGACAAUGUCAAGAGACUAAAAAGACAAGCCCCAGACUGAAAGAAACAUUUUUAAGAGACACAUCUGAUAGUCAAAACAUGCAAAGCACUCUUAAAAUGCAAUGGAUAAGGAAAUGAACAACCUAAUUAAAAAUGAGCAAAAGAUAUGAACAGAGAUCUCACCAAAGGAGAUAUACAGAUGA
rnacentral:lncRNA from 1 species